rnacentral:lncRNA from 1 species
GAGGAGAGCUGACAGUAACGUUGUUGAGAUUACUGCCUGUCUCUUCCUGACUUCCCCAGGGGCUUCGCCAAAUGCUCCAACACUGGAUGUAUUGGAGCAGAAGCACCAGACUGGAUGUAGGAGCCUUGGGCUCUGACCCCAGCUCUACUCCUUACAGACAUUAGUAAGUAAACCCAACCACUUGUGGCCUCAGUUUCUUUAUCUUUAAAAAGAGGAUAUUAAACCCCUGACUUCAUGAGAUUGCUAUGUGGAGCAAAUAAAACUGUCCACAUGGAAGGGUCUUGUAAACUGUAAAGAAAUGUAUCUGUAUGGGGGGAUGAACAGGAUUGACUUGCAUUCUUACAGGAGCACAAAGGCAUGUGAGGGCUGAGCUUUGAGGUUCUCAGGGGACUCCCCUCCAAAAGUCUGCAAUUUAAAGCCCAGUGGUUUAUCCUGUUUUCACAAAUCCUCAUUCAUCUUCUUGACCUGACACUUAGCGAAUGGACCAGAUUUGCCUCCAGUCUACUGCUUUGCAUAUUCUUGGCAGAAAGGACAUUAGAGAGCCACGAAGCCUCUACCCUCCUCCCUCAACAUUCACCACUGUCUUAAUGAGGAGCCUCACCUGCAGAGGGUAGGAACUUACCUUUCCUGCUUCCCCAGCACCCAGCCCAAGGCCUCACCUAUUGCAUUAACUGUCUGUUGAAUAAGUGAAUGAAAAAAUGAAAUGAUCUGUUCAGGAUUUCCUCAGAACCUAACAUAGUGCCUGAUCCGUAAUAAAGCGUGUAUCUGUUUGUUUAUCAAAUGAGUUUAGGAAUAAACGGUCCUCCAGCAAAUUGGUAGUAGCUCUGGGAUGCUUACCUCUUAUCUUGCAAUUCAUUUCCCAGUACAUCGCAAGUUAGUAUUCAUCCUGGCUUGCAUCUGCGACGAACUGACCUGAGUUUGUGCAUUUUGUGGAAUUACCUACAAUUCCAAACCAUUAGAAGCAAGGGAUCAUGUCUUCCGCUGCUGUGUCUUUUGGAACAUGGGCCUCGGAACUGGUCCCCCAGUAGGUAAUCAAUAAAUAUAUCUUGAUUAUUUGAACCUGGACAAAUUAAAGGAGCUAUCUGGAGUGUGACUUCUGAGGAAGAGACUGGGUAGGAAGUGCUUUGUGUGGUCUGAUAAUGUAUUUAUUUAUGAGACUAAAUGUUUAUCUAAGCCUCCAGAAGAUCUCUGGCUUCAUUUUGGUGUCUGUGUGCAUUUGUGUUAUUUUCCAUGGUCACAACUGGGCUACAGCUGGGCUACAGAGUCAUAAACAAUUUUUAUAAAUUUGGUUUACCCCAUGACAAGAAGUGGGAGCAACCCGAAACCUUCAAAAAAAAUUCUUCGUGGAGUCUUGAAUACACCAGCAUCCAGCUAGUUCAAAUAGGGUUCAAGUAAGCACGACAACUUCACGAAAGCUAUUUAUGAUCAACACAAUAAAACCUCUCUACCCAUUCAGGCACUGGGCAUCUGAGCUGCAGUUGUUUGUCUUUCAGUCUCUUCUUCGACAGCAUUCAACGUCAGGUAACUUGGACGGCUUCAACCACCACUGCCAGGGACAAGCAAGCCUCCCUUUUUGUUUCCCUGGCAUAUUCCUUUGCCAUUUUCUGAGACAAAUCAGUGGUCCUACUUCAUUCUGAAGAGCUGAGCCAAGUUCUACACCAGCAUCUAAAAUGUCUUACUGCAUGUUUCUUAGAAGCCAGAUCCUGGCUUGCAUCUGUUACUAACUGACUUAAGUUUGUGCAUUUUGCCUCUAUACCUGCAAUUCCAAAUCAUGAGAAGCAAGGGACAUGGUUCAGCACAUCUUAUUGCUUAGGACACAUCCUUCAGAAUGAAUACCACAUAGUUUGGAAAGUCACUCUCCUGAGAUGGUGGAGUUGCAACUGGCAGGCCAUUGAUUCAUCGAUCUGCUUUUUGCCUAGGCACUGACUAAAUCAACCAGGGCCAAGAGCUAGGGUGAGAGGUAAAAGUUAAGGUCUGUGCCCUGAAGGAGCUCUUGUCCUGGCAUGAAAACUGAACCCUGAGUAUCCAUUUCAGUGGCACCAGUACUCGUUGACCCUGAAGAGGACACAUGGUCCUCUGGAAGCUGAGAGGAAAGGGUGGAUGAUAGGGGGGAGGCAGACAGGGGCAAAGACUUGGAACUAGAAGGCUCUGAGGAACAGGUAACCCUUGAGCUGGUCCAGAUGUGUGUGCACAUACUCCUAACCAGAUAUAAAUGAGGGAGAGAGGUGGGAGCCGAACCCACCUGUUCCCCGUGCCUCCUCGUUCCUAUGAAGUCCACAGGCACCAAGCGUCAGCCCUCUCCAGGCUACUCUUAGAAAAGCAGUAGUAACUAAAAUCGCUGUGUGCAAGUACCAUUUGAGGUACUUCACAUUAGCUACUCACCACAAAGGCAUACAAGGAAGGUAUUAUUCCCGUGUUCGUGGAUGUGGGAACUGCAGCUGAGAUAAAACAUGAACCAUUCGUCCAGCAUCACAGAGUUAGUCCAUGGAGCAGCUGGGCUCCAUCCCAGUUCUCUUUUACUCCUUAACCCACCUUCUUAAACACCCCGCUGACCCAACCUCCUCAGUCAGGUGGUUUAAUUGUUCUAUGGCAGAAGGAAGGUAAAGAGAGAAGGGAGUUUGUGGAAGCAUGUGGGGCUGUGUCUCCUUGGAUCUGCGCAUACGCUCCCCUAACUGUUCUUUCAUAGGACGGAACUCCUGGUGCCCGUCACCUGAGCCCCAGAUCAGAGGAGGCUGAGGAAACUACCACUGGCACGUGCUAAUUCUGCCCCAGCUUGCACUCAGCUGUUUUACUGCACUGGCUCAGGUUAUCCGUACAAGAAGCCUUCGGACCACCGAUUAUCUCCUUCAGUGUGUGGACGAGACAUCCUAAGUCUUGUGUCAUUUCAGGGUUUGCUCAAUUCCUUACAGCCAGUCCCUACCAAAGCCAGGAUUCACAAGUAAAAUAUUUCCCUCCUUCCCCUUCCAAGUCCAUUUUCUUUUUACUCCUUUCUUCUGUAGACUCUAAAGUGUCCUAGAAUCGAUGGCGUAAGGAUCAUGAUGGAAAAGGAAAAAUAAGAAAGGGUAGGGAGGAAGAAGAAGGAAAGGAAGACACAGAUGGGAAAAGGAGGAGGAGGGAAGAAGGAGGAGAAAUGACCGUCAGAAGAACGGGCCUGCACGCAAGUUAUGCACGCGCGCCAGGGACUGAGGAAUACUCACCAAGAUAGGACACAGAUGUAAACAUUCAGGGGACAUGUCCUGACCUGGAUUUUGAACAAGGACCAUAGCAUGCGAGGGAGCAACGUUUUCAGUGUUGGGAGAUGCCAAAUUGGACACAGGAGAGAAGGCUGCAUGACUAACCUGGAGUCGCGAUGGACUUGGUUAUUGCACAGCAAUUUGCUGAAAUACCCUCGGCAUGACUCCAUGGUCUUACCCGGCACAUCCACCCCCUUUGUUUAUUGAAUUAAAUGAUGAAUAAAAGGUUCAGUCUUUUUC